UUGCCAUCAAAUCUACAUUCCCCUAUUUAACAACCCUUUUUGAGCUUUUAUAUUUGGAUGUUUUAUUUUAAACUUUUUGUGUGUGCUUACAUUAUUUAAAGGGUUUCUGUUAUUUGCAUAUGGGUCAUGUGUGUUUGAAAUUAGCCCAUUUUUCUAUAUAAUUGCUUAAUAUAAUACUGUCAUAGCACAAAUUUGUUCAUCAAUCCAGGUAUCAUAGUUUAUCACUACUUUAAAAUUAAAUUCACCCUCAAAUUCCCUAAACUUGAGAACAAGAAAAUCUUUAGUUUUUC
rnacentral:lncRNA from 1 species